UAGAAUUUCAAGUAUUUUUCAAUGAUCAUGUUGAGAACGACUUCAACACACUCUUCAAGACUCUUCAUUUCCCUCCUAAAUAUUUUGCUGCCGGUGUGCCUGGUAGUUUUUACCUUCGUUUAUUUCCACAGUUUAGCAUCCAUUUUGCUUACACUUCUUAUUCACUCCACUGGUUAUCUAAGAUUCCAAAAGAAAUUAUAGAUAAAAAUUCUAUUGCAUAUAAUAAAGGCAUCAUACAAUGUUCUGGCCUCAAUAAGGAAGUAGUUAAGGUGUACGCAUCUCAAUUGAAGAAUGACCUAAACAUAUUCUUAAAUGCAAGAGCCCAAGAGCUUGUACCUGGAGGUUUGAUGGUAAUUCUUACAUUAGUUUUGCCAAAUGGUGUUCUAAUGUCUGAGACUGCAAUGGGUAUAUCUUAUGAUUUCAUUGGAUCUUGCUUGAUGGACAUGGCCAACUUGGUAAGAAACUACAAUAUAUAACUUGUUUAUAUUUAAGAAUAUACAGUAGUUUGAUUAGACAUUGGCAUGAAAUAUGUUAGAGAAUUAAUGUUGGACUUUAUUCUUGUAGGGAUUAAUUAAUGCAGAGAAAGUAGACUCAUUCAACUUACCUUUAUACUUUCCACAUAUUACUGAACUGAAGGAGUUGAUCGAGAAAAAUGGAUAUUUCAGCAUUGAAAGAUUCGAGCCUUUGGACAAUCCAAUGAAAAGUAAGCCGUUCGAAUCAAAACAUUUUGCUGUUUUGCUAAGAUCAACUCUAGAAGGAGUUAUAAGGGCGCACUUUGGAGACAUUAUUGUAGACAAAAUUUUUGAAUACCUUGCUCAAAAAUUUGAAAAUGAUCCUCUCAUCUUUGACGAGGAUUCCUUUAAAAAUACAGAAUUAUUUAUUUUACUUAAGCGAAAUGUUAAUUAGCAAAUAAAAUAAAGCCCAAUUUUUGUUUAAAGAAAGGACCAGAAAUAUGUUCAUAUUCAUAAAUAAAAGGAGUAUGGGGAUUUUGGCCCAUCGCAGAGUGGAUAUCAACCAUAUUUUUUUUUUCUACUUUCCGUGUAAAUAUUGGAUGUUUAUUAUUCGAAACUUAAUCAAUACAAACAACAAAAUAAUGUUAAUAUUAACUUAAAAAUUAAAUUUUAGUAGAGCACUUACUAAUAUUCAUUAAAAGAAGAACAUACAUAAAAAAAAUAUCAUACUCUAACGUGUNNNNNNNNNNNNNNNNNNNNNNNNNNNNNNNNNNNNNNNNNNNNNNNNNNNNNNNNNNNNNNNNNNNNNNNNNNNNNNNNNNNNNNNNNNNNNNNNNNNNNNNNNNNNNNUCCCGAAUAUUCACUAAAUACAGAUUAAGUGAAUUAGAUAGUUAUUAUAAACUAAAUAUCUGUAUAAAACGUUAAUUCUCAUUUAAUAUAUCUCACUACUUUUCCAUUAUGAUUAAAAAAUGACGUAUACAGAGUUAAUUAGUAUAAUAUAUAUCCCAUUAUAAAUAUCAAAAUUCUUUUAUAUGUACGUGCCCUCCACGUUGAGUCUUCAUUAAUUAUUUGUUAAUUACUAAUACGUGAAUGGUGAUCGUGAUGAUAAAUAAUAUAUUAGAAAAUAAUAUGGAUUGAUUAUAGCAAAUCUGGUAGUAGGUUUGACCUCACAGAAAUUAAUAUACUCCAAUUCUGUAAGCUAUAUAUAUAUAUAUAUGUGUGUGUGUAUCUUUUGAGAAUCAAAAAAGAUAAUAUAUAUAUAUAUAUAUAUAUAUAUAUAUGUAGAGAAGUUUUCUUAUUCUUAAAGACAGAUUGAUAAGGUUUCUUAUUCACAAUGUCUGUCACGUGUAACUUAUUUUUAGUUGGCUUGCUUGUAUGUUUACUUCAAGUUCAAUAAUGGCUAGAGCCGGCCAUGAAACGUGAAUCAAAUUAAAAAAACAUAUCUGUAUAUAUAUAUAUAUAUAUAUAUAUUACAUAAACGACAUUUAAUUGAUAAAAAUGCAACUUGUUAUCUUAGACUUUCACGAGGUACGUAUGGAAAUAUUUAACAUAAUUUAUAUCUCGAUCUCUGAUUUAACAAUAACGAUGAUAAGCAUGAUGAUGAUAUCGAUUUAUAAAUAAUUCAGGACUCUAGUAAAAAAUAUAUAUAUAUAUAUGUGUGUGUAAGUGUGUGUGUGUGUAUACACAGACACAUGAUCACUUGGUAGAAAUUAAGAGAUUUGAAGAGACAUGAAUGGUGGACAUGGCCCUUACAGCUAUAGUAAAAACUCUUAUUACCAGGUAAAUAAUUGCUGCUGUAGCUAGCACACACUCAUACACUCAUAUAUAUCCAUAUAUAUAUAUAUAUAUAUAUAUAUAUAUAUGUAUACACAUACACACAAAAGAAUGCUUAAUUUACCCUUCUAUGUCUUUGAUUUUGGAAAAUAGUUUUAAAAAAAUUGCUGAAACUAAAAUUUCAUAAUAUCUUCUGGAAAGAAGUUUUUUUACGAGUAAACUUGCAUUACGAAUUUUUGAUAGUCGAAUAAAAUAUAAUAUAUGUUUUCGUCAAUUAUUUUUAUAAAUAAUAUUUUAUUUUCAAAAAACAAAAAGAUAUCGUGUAUCUACGUAUAUAUAUUUUAUAUUUUUUAUAUAUGUUGUAUACGUUUCUAAUUUUAUUUAUUAAUUUCUCACAUUGCUUCUCCUUUUAAUAGGUCGGAGAGUUUUUUUUUCAUAUUUCUACGAAUAAAAUUGGUGUUAUGUUACCGUUUGUUUUUAUUCUUUCUGAUUCCUAUGUUUGACACGUGAUAUAUUUAACAUUUAAACUAAACUAGAAAUUAACAGAUGUACAUUUUUUUUAUAUAAUCACUAAAAUAUAAUUUUUAAAAUAACAUCAAUAAAUCCAAAAAUAGUUACACUCAAAACUAAAGAACUUCUCUCUAGUUAAUUAUUCUUUUAAAUUAGACUUUCUUUUGUAUAUAAUAAGAAAAGAAUAUCAUUCUUAAUUAGAAUAUGAUGUAUAUGACAUAAAUAUAUAUAUGAUAUUAUUUAAUUACUGUUUUUAUGUGUUAGAAGGAAAAAAUACAAAGCAAUUUUACGUGUUUAUAGAGAGGUGUGGUUGAUGUUUCCAAGAAGAUGAUCAACGAAGCCGUCAAAGAAAAAUUUGACCUAGAGAACACCUACUUUAAUACUUUUAAAAUAAUUUGGAUAGCAGUUUUGAGUUGUUCUAUCGGACCCAAUACAUUCUUUUUAGUUGAGAGCAUUAUAGAAGCUAUAGAGCUUAAAUACCAAGACGAAAACAUAUCAAGUAACUCCAAGAAUUUAGAAUUUCAAGUGUUUUUCAAUGAUCACGUCGAGAAUGACUUCAACACGCUUUUUAAAACUCUUCCUUCUCCUCCUAAAUAUUUUGUUGCUGGUGUGUCUAAUAGUUUUUACUGUCGUUUAUUUUUACAGUAUAGCGUCUAUUUCGCUUAUACUUCUUAUGCAGUCCACUGGUUAUCUAAAGUUCCAAAAGAAAUUAUAGAUAAAAAUUCAUGUGCUUAUAAUAAAGACAAUAGACAAUGCUCUGGCUUCAAUAAAGAAGUAGCUAAGGCUUAUGCAUCUCAAUUUAAUGAAGACCUGAGCAACUUCUUAAAUGCAAGAGCUCAAGAGCUUGUACUUGGAGGCUUGAUGGUAAUUCUUACAUUAGUUUUGCCAAAUGGUAUUCUAAUGUCUAGAACUGCAAUGGGUGUGUGUUAUGAUUUUCUUAGAUCUUGCUUGACGAACAUGGUCCACUUGGUAAGAAGCUAUAAUCCAUGGCUCUUCCUUACAUUUAAGAACGUAUAGUAACUUGAUGAGAAAUUGACAUGAAAUAUAUAUAGAGAAUUAACAUUGAGUUUUAUUCUUAUCGGGGUUAAUUAAUAUAGAAAAAGUAGAUUCUUUCAACUUGUUUUUAUACUUUCCACAAACACACACACACAAACACAAGAAUGCUUAAUUUAUCCUUCUAUGUCCAUACGAAGAUAUAGAAUUUUCUUUUGAUUUUGGGGAGGUGCGGUUCAGGUGUAUGUAUUGCGUUAACGAAAAAAGCAGAGAUGAAAUAUCACCUAAGGCCCUUAUGAAUUAAAGUGGUACAUGUUUUCAUAUAUAUUUGUUUAAAAAAUUAGGUUAUAAUUACUAUACAUAUUAUAUAAUUAAUUAAAUAUAUAAUUUUUAUUAAAAUUUAAGAAAAAUAUAAAUAUAAUACUGUAUGAUGCUUUCGAGGUGUUAUUAUAUUCUCUAGGUCAAUAACUUGUAAAAUUGGGUGCUUCAAGUUCAAUAAUGGCAAGAGCCGGCCAUGAGACGACAGGUUUGGAAGCUAUACCAUGUACAUCAAAUUAAAAACAUAUAUGUGUAUAUAUUAUAUAAACCAUACUACCUAAUCGUAAUUAAUUAAUUAUUUUCCUUCUCAAUGUACGUAAUUAAUGAAAAAGCCACUUAUUAUUUUAGACUUUCAUGUGUUAUAUAUGAAGAUAUUUAAAACAGUCCAUUGCUCAAUGGCUGAUUAAUUAUAAUGAUGAUAACAGUGAUGAUGAUGAUCAUGAUGAUGAUAUUAGUGUAUGAAUAAUUCAGGACUCUAGUAAUAUAUAUAUAUAUAUGUGUGUGUGUGUGUGUGUAUACACACAGAUACAUGAUCAGUCGGUAGAAGUUAAGAGAUCUGAAGAGAGAAGAGAGUGAGAGAGGGAGAGAGAGAUGGCAGAGCAAGAGGUUCCUCCAUUAAUCCGAUCAAAACCCAUGAAUGGAGGAGAUGGCCCUCACAGCUACAGUAAAAACUCUUAUUACCAGGUAAAUAAUUUUUACUGUAGCUAGCACACACUCAUACACACAUAUAUAUCCGUAUAUAUAUAGAGAAUUUGUGAUAAAAUUUCACCUUAACCUUUACAAAUGUUGGGUUGGGUAAAGUUACUAAAAUAAAGACUUCUAAUUACUCUUGGCUAUGUAAUUUUGAAGCCUAAUUAGUUCCCCCCAAGAGGUAAAAAUUUCGUAGUGCCCCUUGAAAAUUUUUUGCGAGUAAAAUUAAAUAUGAGUUUUUUAUAUUUGAAUAUAAUAUAAAUUAUAAUUUCGUUCAUCAUUUUUGUGAAUAGAUAAUUUAUUUUCUACAAAAGAAAAUAUAUCUUAUAUCUAGUUACAUAUAUAUAUAUAUAUAAAUAUAUUUAUAGUUAUGUUUAUCAUGUCCUCACAGUUUUUUUCCUUCAUUAUAUUUUUACAAAUAAAAUUGGUGUUAUUUUACUGUUUGUUUUUAUCUUUUUCAACUCCUAUGAUUGAAUGUAAUAUAUUUAAUGUUUAAACUAAAUUAAAUUUUAACAAAUAUACAUUUUUUUAUAUAAUCACUAAAAUAUAAUGUUUAAAAUAACAUCAAUAAAUCCAAAAGGAGUUAUACCCAAAAGUAAGAGAAGAAUCCCAUUCCUAAUUUAGAAUAUAACAUACAUACACACACAUAUAUAUAGGAUAUUGUUUAGUUACUAUUUUUAUAUUCUCACCCAAAAACAUUACAAUAAUUUCAUGUGUUUACAGAGAGGUGCAAUUGAAGCUACUAAGAAGAUGAUCAACGAAGCUGUUAAAGAAAAGUUUGACUUGGAGAAUACCUACUUUAAUACUUCUAAAACAAUUCAAAUAGCAGAUUUGGGUUGUUCGACCGGACCCAAUACAUUCUUUACAGUAGAAAACAUUAUAGAAGCUAUAAUUCUGAAGUAUCAAGAUGAAGACAUAUCAACUAGUUCUAAGAAUCUAGAAUUUCAAGUGUUUUUCAAUGAUCAUGCCGAUAAUGACUUCAACACCCUCUUCAGGACUCUUUCUUCUCCUCCUAAAUAUUUUGCUGCCGGUGUACCUGGUAGUUUUUACCUUCGUUUAUUUCCACAGUCUAGCAUCCAUUUUGCUCACACUUCUUAUGCAGUCCACUGGUUAUCCAAAGUUCCAAGAGAAGUUAUAGAUGAAAAUUCCU
rnacentral:lncRNA from 1 species